ACUACGGGAGGCAGCAGUGGGGAAUAUUGGGCAAUGGGCGCAAGCCUGACCCAGCAACGCCGCGUGAAGGAAGAAGGCUUUCGGGUUGUAAACUUCUUUUGACAGGGAAGAGCAGAAGACGGUACCUGUCGAAUAAGCCACGGCUAACUACGUGCCAGCAGCCGCGGUAAUACGUAGGUGGCAAGCGUUGUCCGGAUUUACGGGGUGUAAAGGGCGUGUAGCCGGGCUGACAAGUCAGAUGUGAAAUCCGGGGGCUCAACCCCCGAACUGCAUUUGAAACUGUUGGUCUUGAGUAUCGGAGAGGCAGGCUGACUUCCUAGUGUAGCGGUGCAAUGCGUAGAUAUUAGGAGGAACACCAGUGGCGAAGGCGGCCUGCUGGACGACAACUGACGGUGAGGCGCGAAAGCGUGGGGAGCAAACAGGAUUAGAUACCCUUGUAGUC
rnacentral:rRNA from 1 species